CCUACGGGUGGCAGCAGUGGGGAAUAUUGCACAAUGGGGGAAACCCUGAUGCAGCGACGCCGCGUGAGUGAAGAAGGAGUGCGGUAUGUAAAGCUCUAACAGCAGGGAAGAAAAUGACGGUACCUGAGUAAGAAGCCCCGGCGAACUACGUGCCAGCAGCCGCGGUAAUACGUAGGGGGCAAGCGUUAUCCGGAUUUACUGGGUGUAAAGGGAGCGUAGACGGCAGCACAAGUCUGGAGUGAAAUGCAGGGGCUUAACCCCGGAACUGCUUUGGAAACUGUGCAGCUAGAGUGCAGGAGAGGUCAGUGGCAUUCCUCGUGUAGCGGUGACAUGCGUAGCUAUUAGGAGGCACCCCAGUGGCG
rnacentral:rRNA from 1 species